GAACGACUCUCGGCAACGGAUAUCUCGGCUCCCGCAUCGAUGAAGAACGUAGCGAAAUGCGAUACUUGGUGUGAAUUGCAGAAUCCCGCGAACCAUCGAGUCUUUGAACGCAAGUUGCGCCCGAAGCCACUAGGCCGAGGGCACGUCUGCCUGGGCGU
rnacentral:rRNA from 2 species